rnacentral:rRNA from 1 species
AUUGAACGCUGGCGGCAUGCCUUACACAUGCAAGUCGAACGGUAACAGGUCUUCGGAUGCUGACGAGUGGCGAACGGGUGAGUAAUACAUCGGAACGUGCCUAGUAGUGGGGGAUAACUACUCGAAAGAGUGGCUAAUACCGCAUGAGAUCUACGGAUGAAAGCAGGGGAUCGCAAGACCUUGUGCUACUAGAGCGGCCGAUGGCAGAUUAGGUAGUUGGUGGGAUAAAAGCUUACCAAGCCGACGAUCUGUAGCUGGUCUGAGAGGACGAUCAGCCACACGGGGACUGAGAGACGGCCCAGACUCCUACGGGAGGCAGCAGUGGGGAAUUUUGGACAAGGGGCGAAAGCCUGAUCCAGCAAUGCCGCGUGCAGGAUGAAGGCCUUCGGGUUGUAAACUGCUUUUGUACGGAACGAAAAGCCCUGGGUUAAUACCCUGGGGUCAUGACGGUACCGUAAGAAUAAGCACCGGCUAACUACGUGCCAGCAGCCGCCGUAA